rnacentral:rRNA from 1 species
UACGUAGGGGGCAAGCGUUGUCCGGAAUCAUUGGGCGUAAAGAGCGCGUAGGCGGCCCGGUAAGUCCGCUGUGAAAGUCAAGGGCUCAACCCUUGAAUGCCGGUGGAUACUGUCGGGCUAGAGUCCGGAAGAGGCGAGUGGAAUUCCUGGUGUAGCGGUGAAAUGCGCAGAUAUCAGGAGGAACACCAGUGGCGAAGGCGGCCUUCUGGGCUGUCCCUGACACUGAGGCGCGAAAGCGUGGGGAGCAAACCGG